GAUGUGUAGGAUAGGUGGGAGGCUUUGAAGCGUGGACGCCAGUCUGCGUGGAGCCGACCUUGAAAUACCACCCUUUAAUGUUUGAUGUUCUAACGUGGACCCGUAAUCCGGGUUGCGGACAGUGUCUGGUGGGUAGUUUGACUGGGGCGGUCUCCUCCUAAAGAGUAACGGAGGAGCACGAAGGUUGGCUAAUCCUGGUCGGACAUCAGGAGGUUAGUGCAAUGGCAUAAGCCAGCUUGACUGCGAGCGUGACGGCGCGAGCAGGUGCGAAAGCAGGUCAUAGUGAUCCGGUGGUUCUGAAUGGAAGGGCCAUCGCUCAACGGAUAAAAGGUACUCCGGGGAUAACAGGCUGAUACCGCCCAAGAGUUCAUAUCGACGGCGGUGUUUGGCACCUCGAUGUCGGCUCAUCACAUCCUGGGGCUGAAGUAGGUCCCAAGGGUAUGGCUGUUCGCCAUUUAAAGUGGUACGCGAGCUGGGUUUAGAACGUCGUGAGACAGUUCGGUCCCUAUCUGCCGUGGGCGCUGGAGAACUGAGGGGGGCUGCUCCUAGUACGAGAGGACCGGAGUGGACGCAUCACUGGUGUUCGGGUUGUCAUGCCAAUGGCACUGCCCGGUAGCUAAAUGCGGAAGAGAUAAGUGCUGAAAGCAUCUAAGCACGAAACUUGCCCCGAGAUGAGUUCUCCCUGAGACUUAGAGUCUCCUGAAGGAACGUUGAAGACGACGACGUUGAUAGGCCGGGUGUGUAAGCGCAGCGAUGCGUUGAGCUAACCGGUACUAAUGAACCGUGAGGCUUAACCUUACAACGCCGAAG
rnacentral:rRNA from 1 species